rnacentral:sRNA from 1 species
UGGAGAUAGAUGCCAUAUUGAAGCUCUGUCCACUCAGAGACCAAGAGUAGCUUGGUCAUUGACAGCACAAGUUUUGUCAAAAUGAUCUACCAGUGUGCCUCAGCUCUGACCUAGAGGCACCACCACCAAGAAAGAGGAUAGCUCAGUCUCCAUGCACAUUCAAUCCUUGUCCUCU